rnacentral:rRNA from 1 species
UACGAAGGUUGCAAGCGUUGUCCGGAUUUAUUGGGCGUAAAGCGCACGCAGGCGGCUUUUUAAGUCGGAUGUGAAAUCCCUCGGCUUAACCAAGGAAGUGCAUCCGAAACUGCAAGGCUUGAGUACUUAAGAGGAUCGCGGAAUUCCCGGUGUAGAGGUGAAAUUCGUAGAUAUCGGGAGGAACACCAGUGGCGAAGGCGGCGAUCUGGGAAGAUCCUGACGCUGAGGUGCGAAAGCGUGGGGAGCAAACAGG